AAGAGCAACGCCGGCAAGCAGCUGAACACAGUGUGAAUCACCGUCAGGAGAUUAAAAUGAGUGGAAAUGUUUCCGUGUGUGAGAAACCGCUAUGGUAAUGGCGCGCGCACACAAAUCACCUCAGAACAGAGUAACGGAGGACUGAGGACCUGAAGUUUCCUAGUAGAACAUCACUCAGAGCAUCACACAAGAUCUACUGGCUCCCAAGUCAGACGUGAGCCCCUUUUAUGCUCAGGGACGCACAAUAUAAUCACCUCACACUAGAGGGUGCUGUGGGGAUUUCAGUCACUCAGGUGAUGAAAGAUGGAACUCCAGCAGGUCAGGUGGUAAAGAAUCAAGGUACAUGUGCUUUUGGUAUCUUCUGGGGUUGUGUUUGAUUUUGUUGUGUUUGAUUUUAUGUAUGAAAUGAGAAUCUGCUUCAGAAUGGAACAUUUCUGCUUUAAAAAGUUUGAAAGGUUCAUUUUUGAGGAACAAUAUCUGAUUAACAGGUAAAUACAUGAUGAGUUUAAUGUAAUAAGAUGAAUAAUACUGAGUCUUAAUGUUAUUUAGACAACAGUUGUGUACAUUAACUCUUUGUACUGUAUAUAUAUAAAUAAUAAGUGUAGAAUCAAAGCAUUUGGGAAGCGUCUUACAUGCUAAGAUCGGGAGAGCUCAGAAACAGGAGCCAGAUUCUGGAGGUCAUGGUCAUGUUUGGGUUGAGAUGUUUUUUUCUAC